UCCACUUCAAAGAUAUUUCAGAAACUUAAUUUUUAAGCUAUGGAAUCAUGUUCUUUAUAUUCUUCUAUCUCAACCCUCAAAACUCGAAUUUGAACAAACUAGAAAUCAUUACCCACUAUUAUACAUCAGUAUAACUUACGAGUAUCUAACAAGCAGUCAUAUUUAUCAUCAGCUCGCAGAUCCAUCCAAGCAUCAACGUCCAUCGAAAACUUCUGACC
rnacentral:lncRNA from 1 species